rnacentral:misc_RNA from 1 species
UUUCCGUAGGUGAACCUGCGGAAGGAUCAUUAAAGAGACGUUGCCCUUUGGGGUAUACCUCCCACCCUUUGUUUAUUUAUACCUUUGUUGCUUUGGCAGACCCGGCUUCGGCCCACCGGCUCCGGCUGGUCAGUGUCUGCCAGAGGACCUAAAACUCUGUUUGUUAAUAUUGUCUGAGUACUAUAUAAUAGUUAAAACUUUCAACAACGGAUCUCUUGGUUCUG